GCAAGUCGAGGGGUAACAGGAAAGCUUGCUUUUGCUGACGACCGGCGCACGGGUGAGUAACACGUAUGCAACCUACCUUUUACAGGAGAAUAACCUAGAGAAAUUUGGACUAAUACUCCAUAACGUUUAUUGAUCGCAUGAUUAAUAAAUUAAAGCUCCGGCGGUAAAAGAUGGGCAUGCGUCCUAUUAGUUAGUUGGUAAGGUAACGGCUUACCAAGACUAUGAUAGGUAGGUGGUCUGAGAGGACGAUC
rnacentral:rRNA from 1 species